rnacentral:rRNA from 1 species
UACGUAGGGUGCAAGCGUGUCCGGAAUUAUUGGGCGUAAAGAGCUCGUAGGCGGUUCGUCGCGUCGGCUGUGAAAACCCGGAGCUCAACUCCGGGCCUGCAGUCGAUACGGGCGGACUUGAGUGUUGCAGGGGGAGACUGGAAUUCCUGGUGUAGCGGUGAAAUGCGCAGAUAUCAGGAGGAACACCGGUGGCGAAGGCGGGUCUCUGGGCAACUACUGACGCUGAGGAGCGAAAGCGUGGGGAGCGAACAGG